GGAGGUAUGGCCGAGUGGUUGAAGGCGGCGGUCUUGAAAACCGUAGACGGCUGAAACCGUCCGUGGGUUCAAAUCCUACUACCUCCG
rnacentral:tRNA from 1 species